GAACGCUGGCGGCAGGCCUAACACAUGCAAGUCGAACGGCAGCACAGCAGUAGCAAUACUGUGGGUGGCGAGUGGCGGACGGGUGAGGAAUACAUGGGAAUCUGCCCUGUCGUGGGGGAUAACGUAGGGAAACUUACGCUAAUACCGCAUACGACCGGAAGGUGAAAGCGGCGGACUCGCAAGAGCGUCGCGCGACUGGAUGAGCCCAUGUCGGAUUAGCUAGUUGGCGGGGUAAAGGCCCACCAAGGCGACGAUCCGUAGCUGGUCUGAGAGGAUGAUCAGCCACACUGGAACUGAGACACGGUCCAGACUCCUACGGGAGGCAGCAGUGGGGAAUAUUGGACAAUGGGCGCAAGCCUGAUCCAGCCAUGCCGCGUGAGUGAAGAAGGCCUUCGGGUUGUAAAGCUCUUUUGUCCGGAAAGAAAAGCUGCCGGUUAAUACCCGGUGGUGAUGACGGUACCGGAAGAAUAAGCACCGGCUAACUUCGUGCCAGCAGCCGCGGUAAUACGAAGGGUGCAAGCGUUACUCGGAAUUACUGGGCGUAAAGCGUGCGUAGGUGGUUCGUUAAGUCUGAUGUGAAAGCCCUGGGCUCAACCUGGGAAUGGCAUUGGAAACUGGCGACCUAGAGUGCGGUAGAGGGUAGUGGAAUUCCCGGUGUAGCAGUGAAAUGCGUAGAGAUCGGGAGGAACAUCCGUGGCGAGGCGACUACCUGGACCAGCACUGACACUGAGCACGAAAGCGUGGGGAGCAA
rnacentral:rRNA from 1 species